CCUCGAAAAGUGCGCAAUUAACGACGCGCCUUGCAGAUGCCACAGCAAUUUCCAGAUUUUCAUUUAAAAACGCCAGUCAAACUCGCAGGUGCCUCGCCAAUGAUGUUUUUAUUGCCUAUUAGCUAUGGGAACAUCAUUUAAAGCGCACGUUGUAACAAAGCGGAACUCAUAAUGUGGGUCAUGCAUAAUCGAAAGAGAAUCAUCCGUCAUCGUUGGGGCUCAUCAGUUUUUAUUUCACGACAGCCUCAUUAGUAUGCACAAAGCACACAUUUUUAUUUAUGUCUUACAUUUCCCCUUAGGCGAAGGUGUUCAUCUGUUUCCUGACGAGUUCGCCUGCCCCCUUUAUUUACCGCCGUUUCUCAUGUUCGUACUGGACGUAAAUGUUGCUGAC